rnacentral:rRNA from 1 species
CCUACGGGAGGCAGCAGUGAGGAAUUUUCCGCAAUGGGCGAAAGCCUGACGGAGCAAUAUCGCGUGAAGGAAGAAGGCCUGUGGGUUGUAAACUUCUUUUUUAGGGAGGAAAUUUGACGUGUACCUAAAGAAUAAGCAUCGGCUAACUCUGUGCCAGCAGCCGCGGUAAUACAGAGGAUGCAAGUGUUAUCCGGAAUUACUGGGCGUAAAGCGUCUGUAGGUAGUUUAAUAAGUCAAAUAUUAAAUCUUGAAGCUCAACUUUAAAAUCGUAUUUGAAACUAUUAAACUUGAAUAUUUUAAAGGUAAAGGGAAUUUCCAAUGGAGUGGUGAAAUGCGUAGAUAUUGGAAGGAACAUCAAUGGCGAAAGCACUUUACUAGGUAAUUAUUGACACUGAGAGACGAAAGCUAAGGGAGCAAAUGGGAUUAGAUACCCCAGUAGUCUUAGCUGUAAACGAUGAAUACUAAAUAUUGUAUUGAAUCGAAAUAAUACAGUAUUAAAGCUAACGCGUUAAGUAUUCCGCCUGGGAAGUACGCUCGCAAGAGUGAAACUCAAAGGAAUUGACGGCNGAGANGCAGACGACACAGGAGAG